rnacentral:misc_RNA from 1 species
GAAAACAUCCACGCCGCAGGAACAAAAUAUCUGUGCUCAUCACGAAAAUCAAUGUUUUACGUUGCAUCGAUUUUUUUUUCGCAGCCGGCGCCCGACAUGCUUAAAACAACCCUGACUGAGAAGCAAAAGAUUGUAUAUUGAUCUCCUUGUUCGUUUAGAUAAAGUUGUACUAAGUUGAUUGAUAUUUAUUUUGACUGCAUAAGAUGCAACGUAAUCAGAUAAAAUGUUAUUGUUAUUACAGUACUUAGAUGCAAACAAUAUGGUUAUAUGUGUAUACGCAACAUCUCUAAAGUGCAAAUACUUCUGUUUACUUUAGAAUCUGCAACGGAAUUGUUAGAUACAUAGGUACGAGCUAGAUAUUUUACUAUUGAAGAGCAUCUAUUUGCGACGGUGUUUAAUCACAGGUUAAGGUAGAUAACGGGUGGAUAUUUGAAAUAAUCGUCAUAGACAUUAAUCAGUCGUUAUCACUACGGGAAUUUAUCAGCGAAGCCGCGAAUAGUCCUUUCCUAGCCAUUGUUCGCUUUAGUUCGCAUUCACGCACCGACAUUACUAUAAUCAUUUUAUUUAUUUAAGUUUUAAAUAUGAAAAAUGUUUAAUUUGUGACUAAUUGUAAAAGUGUAUUGAAAAAGUGCAGUUGAACAAAAUAGUGAUACCUACAUUUUUAGGGAUACCCCAUUAGCAGUAAGCAAUGAAAGGACGAAGCAGAGCGCGCGUGACCGGCGCCGGCACCAAGUUCCGGUUGCUGAUGUGGAAGAACUUCCUGCAGCAGUGGCGGCGCCGCGUCCAGACCUUCGUGGAGGUGUUACUGCCUGUGCUGACGUUGGCGCUGGUCCUCAUCCUGCGCUCGCAGAUCGAACCCACGGUGGAGAGCGUCAUGACCUACCCGUCCUUGCCUGCGUGGACGUUGAAUUAUUCAUUAAACGUUCUCGGAGGCAUGGAUUUCGGUCAGCUGUCCGUCGCAUACUCGCCUGAGAGCCCUGUUCUAGAAAAAGUGAUGAGAAGAGCGACCGCUAAAUUAAUAACUCGAAACCUACGAGACCUGACACGGUUCAUAUUAGAUCAAUAUCCGGACUAUGCAGAUAUGAUACCACCAGAUCUAGAAUUACCCGAUUUAUCAGAACUUCCUAUUAACGGAACACUUAUUACUGAAAUUAUUGAAAGAAUCGUCGGGUUAAGAGUGUAUGCUUAUAAUAGCAGUGAGAGUUUGAGAGGGUUAUAUACGUCAGAAAACGUAACAAGGCAUGUUAUAGCUGGGGUAGAGUUUGAUGACGAGCUUACGGGCGCCACGCAGCUCGGCAGUAACUUGCGGUAUUCCCUGAGGUUCCCGGAAAGACCGCGGCAGUACGCGUUCUACUCGCAAGGGUCUCGGUCGUGGCAGACUGACUUGACGUUUCCUUCUUUUCAAGUUCCUGGGCCGAGGAAUCCGUAUUCUUGGGAAGGCGGCAAUGCGCCAGGAUACGUAAACGAAAUGUUCAUAGCGCUCCAGCAUAUGAUAUCCAUGGAGCUCGUAGCUGAAGUCACUGGACAAGACUUCUCCAAUUUCAGCGUGGCUAUACGGAGAUACCCACACCCUCCUUACGUGCUUGAUUUGGCCGUAGAAGCCUUGCAGUUCCUUAUGCCCAUGUUUAUAAUGAUCAGCUUUAGCUACACGGCUAUAAAUAUCGUCCGGGCGGUCACGGUUGAAAAAGAACUGCAACUUAAGGAAACGAUGAAGAUCAUGGGACUUCCCACUUGGUUACACUGGACAGCGUGGUUUUGUAAACAAUUUAUUUAUCUCCUGAUCAUAGCGAUUCUAGUUGUGAUUCUUGUUAAGGUAAACUGGUUCACGAACGAAGCAGGUUUCAGCGACUACGCUGUGCUUACAAACACGCCGUGGACGGUGCUUUUCUUCUUCUUACUUUUGUACUUCGCCUGCACGAUAUUCUUUUGUUUUAUGAUCAGCGGAUUCUUCUCUAAAGCUAGCACAGCAGCGUUGUUUUCCGGGGUGAUCUGGUUCAUCACCUACCUGCCGGCGUUUAUGCUGCUCAUGGACGUCCAGGUGUCGUCGGCCGUGCAGGCGGUUUUCUGCCUCAGCAUCAACACCGCCAUGGCGUUUGGGUUCCAGCUGAUACUUGCUAAGGAGAGCGCUGGAGGCAUGCAAUGGGGCCAAUUUUGGGAGGUGACGGAUCUGGACUCAAACCGCUUCGAGUUCGGAACCGUGGUGGUGAUGCUAGUUAUAGACUGCGUGUUGUACAUGCUGAUCGCUCUCUACCUGGAGCAGGUGCUGCCCGGGCCGCACGCUGCACCCAAGCCUUGGUAUUUCAUGUUCCAGAAAAGCUUUUGGCUCCCUAACAGAAAAAUUACCGCAGUUGAUAUCACAAAUGGUUCCAACGAUGGUAUCGUAAUGGAAAAAGUCGCCGACGACUACCCCAUCGGAGUUAAAAUGACGAAUUUAACGAAAGUUUACGCGAAGAACGUGGCGGUCAAUAAUUUGUGUCUAGAUAUAUAUGAUGGACAAAUCACCGUGUUACUUGGACACAAUGGCGCCGGGAAAUCCACAACAAUUUCCAUGCUUACGGGUAACACAGAAGUAACCAGCGGAUCAGUAUGGAUGGCGGGAUACGACAUAUCCCAGCAAACUGCCGCGGCCCGCGCCAAUCUCGGCUUCUGUCCGCAACACAACGUACUGUUCAACGAGCUGACCGUCAGGGAACAUCUGGAGUUCUUCGCCAGACUCAAGGGUUUCACGGGCCAAGACCUGCAAGACGAUAUCGAUACUUUGAUUACAAAGCUCGAGUUGGAUGAUAAGCGUGAUUACCAGUCAGCCGGGCUGUCUGGAGGGCAAAAGCGGAGGCUGUCAGUGGGUAUAGCCCUGAGCGGCGCGCCGCGGGUAGUGCUACUCGAUGAACCCACCUCCGGUAUGGACCCCGCGUCCCGGCGCGCUCUGUGGGAUCUACUGCAGAAGGAGAAAGCGGGGCGUUCCAUGAUCCUCACAACUCAUUUCAUGGACGAGGCGGACAUACUUGGAGACAGAGUCGCUAUAAUGUCGAGCGGGCGUCUCCAGUGUGUCGGUUCACCAUACUUCCUGAAGAAGCACUAUGGCGUGGGAUACACGCUUGUGGUUGUCAAGAGAAAAGGUUUCCAACUUGAAUCUUGUACGGAGAUCAUUGGACGACAUAUACCGGGAAUAGCAAUAAAAGAAGAUAGAGGAACUGAAGUUACAUACGGUUUAACAAACGACCAGUCGCAUUUAUUUGAAGCAAUGCUAAACGAUUUGGAGGCGAAUAUCGAUACCGUAAAAUUUAAAAACUAUGGUCUGACGGCUACUACCCUUGAAGACGUUUUUAUGUCUGUUGGCUCUGAUGUGGGCCCCACCGCGUUUGAUGAUGUGGAAACCAAUACGUCUGGAGGGACUGACGAUAUGAUAGCGGACAUGGACAUAUUAUCGAUGGAUCAAAUGGACAAGGAACAAGACAUGCUAAGCGGGUUCCGACUCUUUGUGCAGCACGUCCUGGCCGUCUGGUAUAAGCUGUGGCUGGUGUGGUCCCGUUCGUGGAUGCUACUUCUGAUGCAGGUGCUAGUCCCACUGCUAAUGAUCAACAUCACGCUUGGGAUUCUCCAGUGGGUCAUGUCGGUGCAGCCAAAAGUCAUACCAAGAGCGCUGACACUUGGACAAGGCUUCGUAGAAACGGAAACGGUACUAUCUUACAAUGGUACUUCAGAGAACUCGAUUGGUGCACUCGCCAAGGUCGCUUACGAACACAUGUUCAACUCGAGUAACGUUGAAACUAUGAAGAUUACCGUCGUGGAGAAUCAAGCUGUCGAUGACUACUAUUUGUAUAGGACUAAUGAAGCCUCACAAAUGGCGUUUCUCCGAGGCCGAAUGCUGACCGGGGUCACAUUCGAUGAAGACUCAGCCACAGCUUGGUUCAGUAACUUCGGGUUCCACGACGUGGCGAUCUCUCUAAGCGCCGUGCAUCAGGCCUUGCUCAAGGCUUGGCACCCGAACGCUACGCUUAGCGUGUUUAACUACCCGCUUGAAGUUAAUUAUAUGGAUCAGAGCAACAUGCAGUCCUACGUCGCAUAUCUCUCCACGCAACUCUCCUCAGGCAUAGCAAGCAGUUUUGGCAUCGUGAGCGCAGUUUACGUUAUGUUUUAUAUAAAGGAACGCAUACUUCGAGCGAAGCUCCUGCAGAAGGCGGCCGGUAUCCAGCCGAUAGUGAUGUGGGCCAGCGCGGCCGUCGUCGACUGGGCGUGGUACUGCGUUAUAUCCGUCACCAUCGUCAUCUCCUGUGUAGCCUUCCAGGUUAUCGGCCUCAGCACGGCUACCGAAUUAGGUCGGAUGUACCUAGCUCUCAUGGUGUACGGCGCGUCCAUGCUGCCGCUGCACUACCUCCUGUCGUUCCUGUUCAAAGGCCCUGCGACGGGCUUCGUCGCCGUAUUCUUCAUUAAUGUGUUGUUUGGUCAAAUGGGAGCACAAAUCGUAGAGGCGCUGCUCUCCCCUGCGCUGGGCACAGAGGACGUGGCGCAGAUCCUCGACUCCAUACUGCAGCUGUUCCCGCUCUACAGCCUCGUCAGGUCCAUCACGUUUCUAAGCCACAUCGGUUUAACCGAAUGGUCGUGCUUGCAAGCGUGCGACUACCUAUCGGCCGUUUUGCCCGUCGGCGAGUGCACCGUACAAACCAUGUGCGAUCGUAACUUCACGGCUUGCUGUGUGCGCGACGAUCCGUUCUUCGAGUGGGAAGAGCCCGGGAUCUUGCGCUACCUGACCUGCAUGUUGGUCUCCGGCGCUGUCUUCUGGAUUGUGCUUCUGGUUAUUGAGUACGAUGUCUACCACAAGAUCUUUAACUGGACGAAAACCCCACCACCUCUCGAUGAGAGCUCUAUAGAUCCAGAUGUUGUAGCCGAGAUGAAACACGUCGAGCAAAUCAGCAAGGCCAACCUAGCGCAGCAGAGCCUCGUGGCAAAGGGCCUAUCGAAAUACUAUGGGAAACAUCUGGCUGUCAACCAAGUUUCAUUUACGGUGGCAGAUGGCGAGGUGUUUGGUCUGCUCGGCGUGAAUGGCGCUGGCAAGACGACCACCUUCAAAAUGCUGAUGGGCGACGAAAUCAUCUCCAGCGGAGAUGCCUUUGUCAGUGGCUACUCUGUGAAAACGGAUAUCAAUUCUGUUCAUGAGAAUAUAGGGUACUGCCCGCAGUUUGACGCAGUGUUCGGUGAGCUGACGGGCCGCGAGACUCUUCGGUUGUUCACGAUGCUGCGCGGGCUGCCGACACAGUACGCCUCCAUGCGAGCGGACUUGCUCGCUGACUCGCUUGGCUUCACCAAGCAUUUGGACAAGCGGGUAGAACAGUAUUCCGGAGGCAAUAAACGAAAGCUAAGCACGGCUAUAGCGUUGCUUGGAUUCACACGGCUUGUAUUCGUCGACGAACCUACUACGGGAGUAGACCCAGCCGCUAAGCGACAGGUAUGGCGUGCCAUUCGCGGCGCGCGGCGCGCGGGUCGCGGCGUGGUGCUGACGUCACACAGCAUGGAGGAGUGUGAGGCGCUCUGCUCCCGUCUCACCAUCAUGGUCAACGGAAACUUCCAGUGUCUCGGCACCCCGCAGCACUUGAAGAACAAGUUCUCUGAAGGAUUCACAUUAACGAUAAAAAUGAAAAUAGACGAAGAAAGUGCGGAUUCUAUAGCUGGAGCACGCGGCAUUGCGGCGGUCAAACGUUACGUAGAAAACAAUUUUACUACUCCCAAGCUGAUGGAAGAGUACCAAGGCCUUCUCACCUACUACUUACCAGACAGAAGCGUGGCGUGGUCCAGAAUGUUCGGCACGAUGGAACGCUGCCGGCAAGACCAUGACGUAGAGGACUAUACAAUCUCACAGACUACGCUGGAACAAAUCUUCCUACAGUUCACCAAGUACCAGAGAGAAAUGUCCGAAAGGUUAUAGUAUUAGACUUGACAUAUAAAGAGAAAUAUACACACAAUGCCAAAGAUAUGCUCAAAAAAACUAUGACAGUUAUAGACUAAACUGGCUUUAAGUAGUGAACACACGACCGCGCCGUCCUUGAAAGUUUUCACGUAAGAGCUAGAGUAAAAUAACUCUUUCUCGCUCUCACUUACAGCAUAGUAUGUGGAUGAUCUUGGUGCGGUGCGGUCGUUUGUUAGCUCAACACAACAAGAUGUGAUUUCUA